rnacentral:rRNA from 1 species
UGCAGUCGAACGAUGAUCCCGGUGCUUGCACCGGGUGAUUAGUGGCGAASGGGUGAGUAACACGUGAGUAACCUGCCCCCGACUCURGGAUAAGCCCGGGAAACUGGGUCUAAUACCGGAUAUUCACUUCCUUCCGCAUGGGAGGUGGUGGAAAGAUUUAUCGGUGGGGGAUGGACUCGCGGCCUAUCAGCUUGUUGGUGGGGUAAUGGCCCACCAAGGCGACGACGGGUAGCCGGCCUGAGAGGGUGACCGGCCACACUGGGACUGAGACACGGCCCAGACUCCUACGGGAGGCAGCAGUGGKGAAUAUUGCACAAUGGGCGAAAGCCUGAUGCAGCGACGCCRCGUGAGGGAUGACGGCCUUCGGGUUGUMAACCUCUUUCAGUAGGGAAGAAGCGAAAGUGACGGUACCUGCAGAAGAAGCGCCGGCUAACUACGUGCCACAGCCGCGGUAAUACGUAGGGCGCAAGCGUUAUCCGGAAUUAUUGGGCGUAAGAGCUCGUAGGCAGUUUGUCGCGUCUGCC